rnacentral:rRNA from 1 species
AUUGAACGCUGGCGGCAGGCCUAACACAUGCAAGUCGAGCGGCAGCGGGAAAGUAGCUUGCUACUUUUGCCGGCGAGCGGCGGACGGGUGAGUAAUGCCUGGGAAAUUGCCCAGUCGAGGGGGAUAACAGUUGGAAACGACUGCUAAUACCGCAUACGCCCUACGGGGGAAAGCAGGGGACCUUCGGGCCUUGCGCGAUUGGAUAUGCCCAGGUGGGAUUAGCUAGUUGGUGAGGUAAUGGCUCACCAAGGCGACGAUCCCUAGCUGGUCUGAGAGGAUGAUCAGCCACACUGGAACUGAGACACGGUCCAGACUCCUACGGGAGGCAGCAGUGGGGAAUAUUGCACAAUGGGGGAAACCCUGAUGCAGCCAUGCCGCGUGUGUGAAGAAGGCCUUCGGGUUGUAAAGCACUUUCAGCGAGGAGGAAAGGUUGAUGCCUAAUACGUAUCAACUGUGACGUUACUCGCAGAAGAAGCACCGGCUAACUCCGUGCCAGCCGCCGCGGUAACAC